AGCAGCCGCGGUAAUUCCAGCUCCAAUAGCGUAUAUUAAAGUUGUUGCAGUUAAAAAGCUCGUAGUUGAAUUUCGGGGUCAAUAAGUUGGUCGUGCCAAUGGUAUGCACUGGCUUUAUUGAUUCCUACCUCUUGACGAACUGUGAUGCCAUUAAUUUGGUGUCGCAAGGAAUCAGGACUGUUACCUUGAAAAAUUAGAGUGUUUAAAGCAGGCUUACGCUUGAAUACAUUAGCAUGGAAUAAUGAAAUAGGACGUUUGAACCUAUUUUGUUGGUUUCUAGGAUCGACGUAAUGAUUAAUAGGGAUAGUUGGGGGCAUUAGUAUUCAAUUGUCAGAGGUGAAAUUCUUGGAUUUAUUGAAGACUAACUACUGCGAAAGCAUUUGCCAAGGAUGUUUUCAUUAAUCAAGAACGAAAGUUAGGGGAUCGAAGACGAUCAGAUACCGUCGUAGU
rnacentral:rRNA from 1 species